CACUAACGGGGAAAGAAGACCCUGUUGAGCUAGACUCUAGUCUGGUAUUGUAACGCGAUAUAGGAGGUGCAGCAUAGGUGGGAGGGCUUCCUUGUGGAGCUCGGCUCUGAGAUACCACCACUCUUUACUGUUGCCUUACUUACAUGAUUGGGUGGAACAAGCGCGGGCCCCAGGUCCGGAUCGUGCGCGCACCUCCUACAUUGGGCAAACGCCUGUAUAAAAAUCGAAAAACCAACUUUAUCGCAGGUUAACACCAUAAUCAUUUUCUUAAAAUAGAUACUUAAACUUAGUUGAAACCAAAAUAUUUCACGUUUUUAUCUUGAACUUACUGGGAUAUAGGCCAUCAAAGUGUAAACUUUGUGUUUUUUGUCCCAAAUUUGAGCAAUUAUUCGACCGAACAUAAACCAUCAUAUUUUUGUAUAUGAUGGUUAGAUUUUGAUAAUUAAUGUGUUGUUGAAAAGGUUUUUUGUCAUACUUUGAUGUUAUGUCAGAAUAUUUGGCAAAAACUUGUUUUUAAAGUUUCAUUUUGGAGAGCAAAAUUUUUUAUGAUUCGACUCGAUUUUACUCGUGAGUCGCAUAUCAAAGGAAAGAUCAACAUUUUUCCUACGUAUUGACGUUGAAGUUAGCUGCGACCAUCCGCGACCCCGAAAAUUGUUGAAUUUUUUCUUGAAAAUAGCACGAGCGAUUUUGACGUCUUGUUGUAUGAGCCAUACACCGCAAGUAUCGAACUACCUGUCAUAAACGAGCAUUUGAAACAAACAGGCAUAAGAAACAAAGCUGAACAGAGAAAAACAGUUUAAAAAAGGUCGUAAGAUAUGAAUCAUCUCUUUUCAAAACUAACCAUGAAACACUCGGCUGUUUUAGCGCGUAGCACUUAAAAAAUCGUUUUUAGUAAGGAACUUACUCCGCCUUUGUUUAAAUUCUUAACAAUAAUUGUUGAUGCUGUUAAGUACUACACAAUAAUGAAAUGUUGUGAGCGAUAAUUAUUGAGGUUUUUUUGCUGUCUUGACGAUUUUAGUAUAGGACUGCCCUGUUUAGUAAGAGCAAUGGUAUUGAAUGAAGAAAAACUGCAAUAGCACGAGGAAUUGAUUUUCAUCCCGGCGUUUGUAUAGCCGUUGCCCACUGUGCCGGGGGGCUGUGGCGGCGGUUCGCCUGCGCGCGCCCAAUGCACCGUGUUUCUCGCUCAGCGUCCAGUGUGUCGCUGGGUGGUGCCGCCGGGGAGACUGCAUCGUAGCAUCGUCGUGUGUAGCGUGUUACCCGCUUGUCCGACCAUGAACCGUGGCCCACAAGGGUACAAGCUUGCGUACGUCGGUGCAUUCGUGGUGCGCUGCUUCUGCGCGGUCGAUCGUUUAUGAUGUCACGUUUGCCCCCGGUUCCGCGCGCCGCCCGGCUCGAAGACUCCUGGACAGGUCCUUUCGGUCCACGUCAUGGACAGUGCCAGAUGCGGAGUUUGACUGGGGCGGUACAUCUCCAAAACGAUAACGGAGGUGUCCAAAGGUCAGCUCAGUGUGGACAGAAACCACACGCUAAGCAUAAGGACAAAAGCUGGCUUGAUCCCAACGUUCAGUACACUUCGGGACAGCGAAAGCUUGGCCUUACGAUCCUUUUGGUUAUAACGAGUUUUUAGCAAGAGGUGUCAGAAAAGCUACCAUAGGGAUAAAUGGCAUUUUUUUUCAAAACGAGUUUCUUUUUUUGUG
rfam:Anopheles gambiae str. PEST chromosome X, whole genome shotgun sequence.